UAUUUGUUUAUUGCUAUAUUGUUUUAUUUGCUUUGAUUCAACUGUUAACCAUCCAGAGUAGGGUUUUGCAUUAAUCAGGUAGUAUAAAUAAAUAAAUAAAUAAAUACAUACAUACAUACAUACAUGCAUACAUACAUACAUACAUACAUACAUACAUACAUACAUACAUAUGUUUUUGCUAUUUCAUAUGGCAUCUUUAAAAUACUAUUAUCAGAUUAGGAUAGGGUGAGGAAAUUAAAAAGAAUAUCUUAAAAGACAUCUGGCUGAACUAUAACACCAGUAGCCAUAUUUGAGUUGUUUGCAGAUACAGGGGCAACUCAAAUUUUCUGUAAUAAGCUUCAGAUAAAGCACGUAUUACUAACUUUGUGCCCUCACUGAAUUUUUGAUGUGGCUGUUAUUGUGGAAUUUAAUUGCUAGCAAGUGGAUGGCUCAUCUUUUCCUCUUGAUCACAUUUGUGAUAAGAAUGGAUGCAGGAAACAGUGCGAAAACACAAGAGGUUACAAUGGGAAGGUAUCAUCAGCUGGAGAAUCCCGUAAAAUUCCAUAACUGAAGCAGGACAAUUGUGCAAUAAAUAUUCAGUGCGCAACACCUUGCCUUAAGAGUGGGUGGCUUCACUUGGCAUAGAGCCAGAUAUGUUCUAGCAAGCCUUCUCAACUGCUCACAUGAGGAAAUUCUGAGGGAGGCAGAGAGGACUGUAACAUUAUGUAAUGUUUAAGAUCCCCCGAGGUAACAGACAGCUCUGAGAAGGAACUGCGAUUCCUCAGUUUGGAUGAGGCUAGAUACCACAUGAUUCAUUUGCUGCUGCAGAGGAAAGCUAAACCUCUGUGUCAUUUUCCAUGUCACAGGUGAAAAAUCUUCCUGAUGUUCACAGAUUGUAUUCUGCUUUUCAGAGAAAGAAAUCCUUCAAACGAUUUACUCCACAAUGCAAGACUGAUCUCUGAUACGUCACAAGGCAUUACCUGGAUCUUCAAAACAGUUCAGUUGAGGCAUCCAUCACUGAAAUCACAUGUAAUUGAGCCCAAGUGGCAUUGUAAAAUGAAUGUCAGUCCCACUGAAGUAAAAUCUGUUUUGAAGAGUUUGCUAUACGUCUACGUACAAGAAAGAGAAAAACAAGGAUACCUGAAUUUCACAAACCCCUAUCUUGUGGAGCAGGAGGAGAUUGCCGCUUCCUUGUACAUCCUGAUUGUCGUUGGGUUUUUCGGCUUUCUCCUUUUCUCUCUGAUGAUGACCAAUAUUGUUUCCAGGCAGCGGGAGAAUUACAUGGAUUAUCUUUAUUCAGAAAAGUUUUCUGGAAAUAGAACAAGAACUUCCUGCAAAAUCACCUUGCCUACUAUUGACAAGAGCGCCAUAUCAGUGCUUAGUGCUACCAGCCACUAUCAAAAGACUAACAAGUGUCCUACAGCAGAAGCUGAGGCUCCAAGCCUAGAAUCAGUGCUGAGAAAUGUAUGAAAGUGACCUUUGAAUAUGUGAUAUGUUUGCCUGUUGUUGGGUUUUGGGGGUUUUUUUGGAUAUGUGAUAUGCUUGCCUGUUUUUUUUAACUCUAAGCUAUACUUGUUGCUGAAUGAAGCGUGGGCCUCAAGUUCCAGUAACUUGGACCAGUUGCUAGAAAGCCUCUGCCCACAAGCUUUCCACACACUAUAUAUUGGUAAAAGUAUCAAAUCCUGAGCAACCAGUACAAUGGCUUCUACAUCCCAGGACAGGAUUCUCUGAUGAGAGCCUAAAAACCAUGCCCAAACAUGGAUGACUUUUAUUUUCUUGUGUGGUUUUGUUAUGAAAGAAGAAAAUAAAUUUCCCUCCUUGUUAACUGUACUUUUUGCA
ensembl:lncRNA